UGUGUAGGUGGACUGGUAAGUACCUUGUGAAAUCCCCCGGCUCAACCGAGGAACUGCUGGGUAUACUGCUGGUCUUGAGCAGCCUAGGGGCGAGCGGAACAAAUGGUGGAGCGGUGAAAUGCGUAGAUAUCAUUUGGAACGCCAAUGGUGAAAACAGCUCGCUGGGGGCUCGCUGACACUGAGACACGAAAGCUAGGGGAGCAAACGGGAUUAGAUACCCCGGUAGUCCUAGCCGUAAACGAUGUCCACUAGAUCGCAGUUUCUUUGACGGAAUUGCGGUCGAAGCAAAAGUGCUAAGUGGACCGCCUGGGAAGUACGGUCGCAAGGCUAAA
rnacentral:rRNA from 1 species